AUUGCAAAAAGGCAUCUACUCUAUGUGAACAAGCAAUAGUCCUUCCUCCGAGUUGGCACAGCUGGACACCAUGACCAUGGCGGGGCUAUGCAGUCAGAAUGAUACCACUUCAAUUCUGUGCACCCAGCAUCUACUAAAUGCCAAUCCCAACUUCCAGACAAUCAGAUGAACUUCAUCACUCUUCAAGACUCUCUCCAAUCAAAUAAUGUUCACUCACAGAUGAAGUGAUAUAUCAAGAUGAACGUCAAAUUGGCAUGGACAAUUUGUUGUCUUGUAGGAAACCUGGGGCUCCUCUGUCUCAGAAGAGUUCCACUUCAGCAAGACAAUGUAAGGUGCUCCACAGAACUGUUCCCUAAUGAAAAUGGUGAAAAUUAUACAAGGAAAACCAUUUAACAUCUCUAGAAAUGGUCCUGGAGGCAAGCAGCAAAUGAAGAACCAUUUAUCCAAGAGAAUCUACCAAAGAACAAUCCUUGGAUGUGGAGAUAUUUAUAUUCUUUAGCUAAUGCAUCCUUUUGUUCAUCACGUGAGACAUUAUAUAGAAGGCUCCGUGGCAAGAUGGUAUGAGCAAAUAGGAAUAUUAACCCAACUGGAUUAUUAUCCUCGGAAGCAAUUUGGAGCACAUUCUACAACAUUGUUGCAACAUCUAUAGCUUCCAAAAGGAGGUAAUACUUGAUCUAAACCUUGAAAGGAACGUACUGCUUGGAAAUCAAGAGACAUGACAGAAUAUUCAAGGGAAGAAAAAGUCAUGCGGCAAGGGGGUGAGGUAGGACUCUGCGUCCUGUGUCUGAUGGACAUGUGAUGAGCAACAAGGCAUCAGUGUAGUUUUGGGGUAGAGGAAAAAUUAUAGUAUUUAAAUCGUAGCUACAUAUUAUUGAUACUUCCUCCUUUAAACUGUUUUAUUCAUAAAGAGGCCUUUACAGGGUAUGUUCAUAUGUUUUAUAAAAUAAACCUAUUUUUGAUCUUGAAAUCAAGAUCAGAUUCAGCUCAUGGAGCCCAAAGUGAGCAAUAAGAUGCAAAUAUACAGUAUCAGAAAGAGUUUAGAAGGUAAGUAAAAAAUGUACUAAUGAUAAAAAGGGGCUUUCAUGUCUUUAUGUGUUUACAUGUAUUUAAGAUGUAGAAACUACAGCUAGGACUUGUUGGGAACCCUGCCUUUAUUUUUCACAUUUCUGGAUCUUGGUGUAUGGCCUCAAACUUAGUUCUCUCCAAAUAUCAAUUUCCUUUGCAUUCCUUAACUAGUAUUUGGUUUCUUAAAGUUGUUUCUAAUUUCUUCCACACCUCCCACAAAAUAUGGCCCUGUGUUUUGUAUAUAAUGGUUAGUCAAUAAGUGUUUAUUAAAUCAAUAUUAAAUUAAAAUGUAGUAAGCAGAGGGGUAAAGAGUUGAAUGAUCAGACAGAUGAGUCAAAGGAAGAAUUUUACCAGGAGCAGACUAUUUUCUUAAGGUAACAUACAGUAAUUCAGAAGCUCAAGUCAAGAUGAGAUACAAGCAAACAACCCUCCUCAGAAGUAAAGUUUCAUGUUGGGCUCAGUUCCUAAGAGUUAGGAUGUGGUUUCCAGAUAAGUUCAAGCCCAGUGUAGAGUGCAAACUCUAUCAUUCGGUGAGUACUGGUCUUAGAAUUCUUAAGAGUCACUAUUAAAGUGAUUGAUCCAUGUGAUUCUGAUUAUUUCUGUGUGUAUUCAUGGUAGUGCCAUAUUUUUGUCACUCUAGGUAAGCAUUUCAAUCAGAUAAUAUCUAACUUCUAUUUAAUAAGAAUUUACAUAUUUUGUAAUCCUACAAAGUAAUAUCAUAUAGACAUUAAUAAGAUGUAUUGAAAGAUUUUUUUAUGGAAUAGGCCGGGGGCAAUAUAAAUGGCAUGUAGGAAGAGUUAAAAUUUUAGGAAAGAAAAAAAACUAGAAAUAGGAGACGUUAACAGUGCUUGUUUGUGCUUCUGAACAAAAUCAUAUGGAUUUUAAUGAUUUUUCUCUCACUUCUAUUAUCAAUUUUAUUUUUGGGAAGAGGUUUUUAAGUCAGGUUACGUACACACUCUCAAAACAAGGACCAUUGUGUACAUUUAAGUCCACAAAAUCUGUAAGAUUUUCUCAGUUGCCUCUCCUCUCUUCCCAAUAACCCAGAAGAUUUUCUAUUGCCAUCUCUUGUCCCUUCUCUCUGCAGACUUACUUUCCAUAACCACUAAAAACCUUUUCAAGAACCUCCGAGGUAAAACAGUGCACCAAAAAUUAUUAGAAAAGAAAUCCCCAAGUAUCACUAUGAGAAUAAUUUCCUUUCUAGACUUUAGGAGGCAACAGCAACACACACACUGUAAUGUAUAAUUAUCCAAUGCCAAAUUACUGCAAUUGUGCAUUACAUAUGUAAUAAGAUUAAAAUUCUCCUCUAAAGAUAGCAAUUACAUGGUAGUGUCAUAUUUAACAUAAUGUGCUAUAUCAGUUAAAUGGAGAACCUGUUCUUUCUGAUGUUCUAGUUUGUCUUCAUUUUUCCCCCUCUACCAUAUUUCCCAAAGUGUGCUGUGUAAGUCAUUCAUAUUGAAAUUAUUUAAGGUGUUUAUAGAAAGCUUAUAAAAUUGAAUCCAAAAAUGUAGCAGUGAGUAAGAAUCUCUGGGCUGGGGAUUCUUAGGUUCUUGGAAGUCAGACAAACAUAGUUCUAGCUUGCUAUCUGCCUAAAUUCAUCUUUUCCUGAAAAAAAAUCUUCACUUAACCACACAUCCAGUCAUUGGGCCCCUGCAGACCCCUGCACUUGACUAUGUUGAGUGUCUAGUAAGAGCCUAGAGCUGUACAUUAAAAUAGCAUUGCUAUAAGGAAACACAGACCCUGCAUUAGUGUCCACAUUCUAUUUUUUCAUUUCCAAUACAUUGUCUCUACUGCCUGCCACUGUUCCCUCCGAUUUAAGUAGAACCGAUGUUACUAAUAUUCUUCAUCUACAGCAAAAUAAAAGGAGCUGCAGUGGAUAUAGAACAAUCCCAAGGUCACAUCACUGGUUAUAUUGCAGAGGCCAACCUAAAUCACUUACUUUAUCCAAAGGUAAAAGGACAAGAAUCUAAGGCGUUUAUGAAGGAACAUGAAAACUAGGUAAAUGCUUAGCUUUUAGAAUGCUCAAGUUUUUGGACUUCAACUCUAAGUAUUAAAUAGCAUUUCAUAUUAAUACUUUACAAUUUAAAAUCUACUGUGACUACUUUGUCUUUUACAACGCAAGGUUUUUGUGCGGUCCAAGUCAAUGUGAUUUGGAAACAUGGCCCUAAAAUUCUUUGACAUGCCUCCCAUUGCAAGGUGGGGUCUGUGUUCCCUUCCCUUGAAGAUAUAAUCUACUCAUCAAUAGUACAUGAAAAAAGUGACACUGUGCCAAUUUCUAGAGUCAAGUCUUUCUUAGAAGUGAAAGCUGCCAGCUUUUUCUCUUUUGGGAUACUCACUGAUGGAACAUAAACUUCAGGCAAUGAAGAAGCCCAAACUGCCUCUUGGAAAGGCAGCAGAGGACAACUAACAACUGGCCAGCCAGGUUUGCCAACAGAGAACUACUCUAGGAAUUUGACUCACAAAAGUAUACCUGUUUUUAAGCCUGAAGCGGACACCGUUUAAUAAGAAAUAAUUUCUGAUCAAAGAUGGCUCCAAAUGUGCUUCUUUUUGGAAACGUAAGACUAAUUACUACCAUCUACAUGAAUCGCUAACCGUUCCCAUCCAGUUACUGAUGCAGAAUAACUAUUAUACGUGUCCAUAAACGAGGCAGAAUGAUGUUACCGUACGUUUCUUUUUGUCUCAACACUGAAGUAUACCAGAGAUUCUCUGUUCCUCAUGGUCUGUUGUUGCAUCAACUAUUGGCCGGGGGUGGGGGGAGUAUAGGAAACUGACCCAUUUUUGGUGAGGGUAAUAGGUGGCAUGAUAUAGACAGAUGUGGAUUAAAUUCAUCCUCAGUUCUCCCAGGCUCCUUUUAAUGUGUAGAAACAAUUCCCUUCCCUCUUUCACCUUCGUAUAUAAAUAUACAGAUGUAAAGAUGAAUGUAUACAUGAACGUGAUAUAAGUUUAAUUUCCAGGUGAUUUAGAUAAUAGUUGUAAUAUUUUCAAACAACGCAGCAACGACCAACAUGGAGUAAUCUGGGCAAGGCUCUUGCUGCUGUCUUGGGAAAAUUAUUUUCUAUGUCAUUUUAUUUUGUUUUCUACACUUGAAAAAUGGGUCUCAUAUUACUUGCCCUUUACAUACCUCAGAGAAAAAGCUGAAAGGAUUAAUGAAGUAUUUGUUAAGAUUUGUAAGCUGGAAAACUUAAGAGAUCAUCACCAUUAUUCUUUUAGAUUCUUCAAAUAAAAUUUGCAGUAGAACCAUAACCCUUGAACCUUUGUGAAUAAGGCAGAUGUGAUAAUGUAGCAAUAAUGUAAUUUCUAAAGAAGCCUUUGUUGUUUAAGUGCUUCAAUCAAAUCUGUAAAUCUCAAAAAUAUCAGAGAAACGGAUUCUCAGGGGAAAAAAAAAAAAAAGCAACAAAGCUGAGAAUUGGGAAACCAAGAAAGGUAUGCUCUUCCAAUGCUGCAGGCUGACACACCAUUUGGCAUCUCACCCUCAGAUGAAAUUACACUCAUUAGAUCUAGGAUUCUAGCGACUUACUAGAUGGUUCUCCUCAAAUUCACUGAAUUAGUUGAGAUACUCAUGCAGCCUUUCCCCCACAUCUGUUGCUUGGCUACGUAUGGGUAAAAUGCCAGUUGCUUUUAUUUUUCACUUUUCCUUCCAGAUGUUUUGGCAUCACAUAGUUACAGGCGUAUAAUUAUUUAAAAAUGCAAGAUUAAUCCAAGAGAGUUUUACUGUUU